GGCUGGGGCUUAAUGGUAGAGCACUCGCCUAGCAUGUGUGGGGCCCUGGGUUCCAGUCUCAGUACCACUUA
rnacentral:tRNA from 1 species